AUUGAACGCUGGCGGCAGGCUUAACACAUGCAAGUCGAACGAGUGGCGGACGGGUGAGUAAUGUCUGGGAAACUGCCCGAUGGAGGGGGAUAACUACUGGAAACGGUAGCUAAUACCGCAUACCAUCAGAUGUGCCCAGAUGGGAUUAGCUAGUAGGUGGGGUAAAGGCUCACCUAGGCUACGAUCCCUAGCUGGUCUGAGAGGAUGAUCAGCCACACUGGGACGGAGACACGGCCCAGACUCCUACGGGAGGAAGCAGUGGGGAAUAUUGCACAAUGGGCGCAAGCCUGAUACAGCCAUGCCGCGUGUGUGAAGAAGGCCUUGGGGUUGUAAAGUACUGUCAGCGGGGAGGCGUUACCCGCAGAAGAAGCACCGGCUAACUCCGUGCCAGCAGCCGCGGUAAUUC
rnacentral:rRNA from 1 species